rnacentral:rRNA from 1 species
GACGAACGCUGGCGGCGUGCUUAACACAUGCAAGUCGUACGGUAAGGCCCUUUCGGGGGUACACGAGUGGCGAACGGGUGAGUAACACGUGAGUAACCUGCCCACAACUUUGGGAUAACGCUAGGAAACUGGUGCCAAUACUGGAUAUGUGCUUCUGCUGCAUGGUGGGGGUUGGAAAGCUCCGGCGGUUGUGGAUGGACUGGCGGCGUAUCAGCUUGUUGGUGGGGUAGUGGCCUACCAAGGCGGCGACGGGUAGCCGGCCUGAGAGGGUGACCGGCCACAUUGGGACUGAGAUACGGCCCAGACGCCGACGGGAGGCAGAAGUGGGGAAGAUUGCACAAGGGGCGCAGGCCGGAUGCAGAAACGCCGCGUGCGGGAUGACGGACUUCGGUUUGUAGACCGCUUUCAGCAGGGACGAAGCUUUUUGUGACGGUACCUGCAGAAGAAGCACCGGCUAACUACGUG